AGGAGCUUCUGGAAGUGUGGUUGCCCAAAUUCUCUCAAAGGAGUGGAAGCUAGAUAUUCUGAAAUAAUCAUACCCUAGUUAUUUAUCAAAUAGUUAAUAAAAUUUUAUAUGUAAACAUGUACUUAAAACCACUUUACACUCUUCAAAUGCUUUACAAAUAGUCACAAAUUUAAUCCUAAUAUAAGACAAUGAAUAGGUAACGUUAUUAUGGGACUUUUUAGAGAUAUAGAAACUAAGAUGGAUAGAGGUUAUUUAACCUUCUCAAGUGCGUUAAGCUAGUCACAUUAGAGUCAGGAUUUGAACCCAGGCAGUCUGGCUUCAACGCCAAGCUUCCCCUCAAUCACUUCUACCAUCAGAUAAUAUUGCUUCAUACUCACAGUGUUAGCACCAAGAAUGUAAGUUUAGCUAACUGAUCAUAUGAAUUUUGUUGAAAUUCUGUUUAUUUUUCUUCCAGAGAACUCAAUAUGGAACACUUUUUCUCUUUUGAUUCAGACAACCUAUGGAGAUUUUGAUCCUGUACUGAAAGGAACUGAAUGUGGAAAUUUUUGGAGUGUCCAUUCAAUGCCUCCCUGGAGUCUCUGCCAAAGGAAACAUUAGACACGACUCUGUCUGGAUCCAGCUACUACAUCUAUGAUGCUGUGGAUGUGGUGGCCUGAGCCCUCCAUGAAAUACUUUUUAUAAAAGCAGAACAGGGGUCCAUAAUGGAUGCAGGCCAGCUCAUGUUUCUCCCUUAGCAGGUUGCAAGUAAACCUCUAAUGAUUGUAGGGUCUAAUUAGCAACAGUGUCAACUCUUUUAACUAGAAAUAAUUGAUUAAAAACUUUCACUGUGAGAGGUAAGUGUUCAAGAGAAAACAAUGACAAUUCAUCCCAGGGAAUUAAAAAAUUCAGGGAUUUCCAAAAUCUAGUUCUGGCCCUAUCCCUUGAUAUCUUAAAUGCUUCUGGGGAAAGGACAAUUUAUUUGAACUUCCUGCAUUUUUCUAGAAAGGCUACUGAUAGCUAAAUAAAUAUUUCCCCAUUGAAAUUUAAAAUGACUUUUGGAAGCAAGGAGUUUGAUCCCCUUUUUACAGAUCAGAACCCCAAUACUAUGAAAUAUAUUUUAAUUCCCCAAGUCCUUAUCAAUUCUACUUAGAUGAAUUUGUACAUGAACCUAGACUUAUAUAAAUCCAAAACCUAUGAAUAAUGUGUCAUGAAACUCUUGCUUUCAGGUAUGAGGAAGUGAAUGUCAUGUCAGAUCUAAAUACACACAUUUGUUGUGAAUAUAUAUUUGUUCAUGUAUAUAUACAACCAUAUAUAUAGUUAUGUAUUAUACAAAUAUCAGUUGUACAUUUAUAUAGAAAUUAUAUCAAUUAAUGCGUGAAGAUUCUGUACUAGGAGCUUUCAUCUCUUCUCUCUCAUUUAAUAAAAUAUUUUGUUCAAAGGUAGGAAGAAGCAGGCUGUCUUUCUUUGUCUCUUCUUGAGCUCGAGGAAACUCCCUAGCACCCCUAAAGCAAACCUCAUUGCUCAAGGUGCAGCUCAGGUUUAGCCCCACAGCACUCCCUGGACGUGGAAUCUUCAGGAAUGGUUUAAACCUCACCAUGUGCUCUCUGAGGGCAGACAAGAAUGCCUGCUUCCUUAAGCGUGCAGAAUAGUAAACACUCCCCAAAUUGAACUUAUUCAGAGGAUGACUAAUAUAGAGGGGAAAAAAUCUAAUUGCUGGGCAACUCAGUAUCCCCACCAGUUCGAAUCUGGGUUUUCUGCCUUCAAUUUCCAUGCUCAUUUCAUUUCCCAAUUAUGUCUCCCUUUUAGCUCCACCCAUUCCUAAGAAACACCCAAUUUAAAAAAAGCACUGGAGCUCACGUGUCACUGGAUGAGAAAAGAAACUCUGUGUCACAGCAUGUAAUUCUGAACUAUAUGAUUUUCCUAAAGGUCUUGGACUUCAGGUGAAAGACGUUCUGUCAGCCAGGAUUCAGGAACAUCCCUCAGGAAGAGAGAGCUACCUGCUGCUUUGUCUGUGUAUUGUGCCCAGAGAGAGAAAUAUGUAAUCAGACAGAAAAGAAAAGUGUCUGUGGGGCUCAAGUUUGAGUUGAAACCAGGCUCAGGGUCCACCUGUCCUCGCUGAUCCGUGGAUUUCUGUGUGACCAGCUGACACCUAUGGAGCUGUGGCCCUGACUACUACCAGCUUGCUCAUCCCUCUACUCACACAGUCACCCCUCCCCUCACUCUCAUUUAUGCUUCACCUGUGAAUGGUGGUCCUGGGACAGCCACUGCUGGAGCCCGGGUGAGCCUGGGGGCUCCUCCCACUCUGUCCCUCCCUGAUGACAGCCCUCGCCACAGCUCCCGAGCCGGCCACCACGUCCCUGCAUACUUCAUCAUCACCUGUGCCACCAGAAGCCACCACAGCUUUGGGACACAACCUGAAGACCCUCACAGUCACCUUCCCCAUCUCCACCCUCCAGUAUUCAUCAGACAGGAGCAAUGGCUCAGCCACGUUCCACUCCACUGAGAGGGUCCUGCAGAGCCUGGUGAGACCCUGGUUCCAGCAGCUCCUGGCUCUGCACCCUGGAGUUUAUGCAUGCAGAGAGAACACCAGC